CCCACAAACACACUCCUGUGUGCGUACCUGGGAGCGAUCGAACAGAAGAAACAAGGGUGAAAACCCUUGUUCAUGCUAAUCUACUCAAUUAAUCAAGAAAUUCAAGUCUAAAUCAGUUGCAUGUCUCAAGUUUAUCGAUUAUCUAUGCAUACAUGGUGAAGUGGUGUGAAGGAAGAAGAUUCGAAUUCUAAGAAAUCGGAAGGAUUACAAGACCGAGGUAAAACUCCGCUAUAGGCGAUUCGGGGAUAUGGAGCGAGCACAUGUUCAAGCCUUAUUAUACCAAGCGCUUCCGCAAGUUUAUAUGCAUGCUUUUGGGUCCAUGUUUUGCUACUUUGUUAAACCUUGCUAAAAGUUUUAGAUUUGAAAACUUGUUGUUUUUGUUUGGGAUGGUUUAAUGUAAAAAGGGUCAUAUGUGAAUGUUGUCUAUUAUGUCA